CCUCGGUGAACAUUCAACGCUGUCGGUGAGUUUGGUAUGGACACAAAAAACCAUCGACCGUUGACUGUGCCCCGUGG
rnacentral:pre_miRNA from 1 species